AUUAUUUUGGCAGAAUAGUGCGAUUGAUUUAGAAUCAUUAUAUGUAAUAUAUUACAAAUAAUA
rnacentral:tRNA from 1 species